AUAUAAAUGUAUGCCACAAAUAUAUGAGGGCUGCUGGAAAGUAAUGCCUCCUGUUAAAUUAUGUUGGACCACAACAUUAGAGUCAGAGCAGAGAAAGUCAAACAAAACCCAUUCUGGAAUCAGAGAGCAGAACGACUUGAGCAAUCUCAGAGAAGAAGCAGGAACACCAGGUUUAAUUCCUUCACUUGUUGAGGAAGAUUCAGAAUCUCCCUUUGCAUGGAGGAGCUCAGAACUCCAGGUGGAAGACAAGAUGGUUGCGGACACGGAGGACUUUCCAGUCUGCCAAAUCUCCCACAAGGCACCUUACAACUGUGGUCAUUACAGAAAAGUUAUUUCCGUCACCCAAAAACCUUGUAAGGUAACAUUGUCACAUUCCAGCUUGUACAAGUAAAAUGUGUUCUGCCUUCUUUAUAUCCCACUAAUGCUGAUCUAACUUUCAGUGAAGAUAGGCUGAUAACUGAGAGGUACUAUUGCAGCAGGACUCAUCCUGGGUUCUUUUUGUCUUCCAAAGUGAAAAUAAGCAAG
ensembl:lncRNA